AGGAAAUCGAAGGGACUUUGGGAACGUCACACCUGCAGUCGCUUUGUGGGCUUGUUUUUGAGGGUUCAUGAGGAGUAGCCAAAAUUGUAACCACAGAGUGAAAGAAAUCAAUGAAGCUUUCUGAGUGUAGUGUCCUUGACAGAGUGGGAAGCUCACACAAACAUCUUUCAUUUUCCAAGAAAGACUUUGAGAUGGGGAUCAAGAGAGCAAAAAGGAAGCCAUCAAAUUCAUCCUUUGUCACAUGAAAUGUCUACUCAUCCUCAUUUCCUGGAGAAGCGACACCAAAGGAUGAAAACGAAAGACGCGGGUGUGUCAAAACAUGCUUCACUCCUUAACUGUGCAUGCUCACCGGCCUCCAGCUCUUCCUGGUCCCAGCUGAAGGAGCAUCAGGUUUUCCAGGAAAUCUCUGGAUUCAUAUAAGGGGGCCCAGGAGGAGACCUGUGUGCCGCCCAGAACCGGACCCAGCAGGGCAGGACUUCAUACCAAGUGAAUUCAGAACAAGAUGUUUUCAUUACCUUCUGUAGGCCAAAGCAGGGUUCCAGUCCCAGAAGAGUGACACGGAGGACCCGGGGCUCUGUGUGGAAAGAGAACCACUUCCCACUGCCUGCGUUAGAUUAUUGCUUCUGACCACGGCCUCCUCCCAGAAGCGGGGAUUAUGCCCAGGCCCCACUGAUUUGGGGUUUAGCCAUGUGACUGGCUUUGACCAAUAGAAUCAACCAGUCAUAUAUUUCUCAAUUGUUUUUGUCUGAUACUCUUUAUCCCCCAUCCCAAACGGAGGUUCCACAAGAGCAGGGUCUGUGUCUGUUUCGUUAGUUUUAAAAUCUCUGGUGCUUGGGCGCCUAGGUGGCUCAGAGGGUUAAGCCCCUGCC